rnacentral:rRNA from 1 species
GAAAAGCCCAGCGUGUAAUCGCUCAGGUCAUACCUGUAGCGAGGUGUCACGUAUAGGCGCGUCUGUCUGGUUUUCGUUGAGGUUCGAAGUUUUCUCGAAUGAAACUUCCCGCAGUGGGUGCUAGGCCCGUACGGACUUCGACUUGGCCAGUUGGGCGUGUCUUGGAGUAGAGUUGCUUGGAAGUGCAGCUCAAAGUGGGUGGUAUACCACAUCUAAGGCUAAAUAUGACCGAGACUUCGAUAGCGAACAAGUACCGUGAGGGAAAGUUGCAAAGAACUUUGAAGAGAGAGUUCAAGAGAAUGUGAAACCACGUGGGGCUAAGCGGAUAGAGUUGACGAAACUGGCAGUGUUCAGUGCUCGUGAUCGGGUUCGCUCGUGAUCGGGUGCGCAUUCAUUGUCGGUACGUGCUGGGACGUUCGGUGAGCCCUUCUGAAGGCUUCAGAGUCACCCAAGCUUGCUUGGUAGUGUUCUGUCGUCGGAAGUUGAUGUGCUCGCUGAUCGUAGCGGUGGCCGUGCCUCUGCGCGUUCGUUCGUUAGUUGGUGUGCUGCUUGGUAGUCGGACAUGUCUGGCUGCCUCGUACGUGUGCUGAUUAGCGGGCGCUCGCCUAUGGCCCACUCCCGGUAUGCGAAAGUCGACCACCUAUCCGACCCGUCUUGAAACACGGACCAAGAAGUCUAGUAUGUACGCGAGUCAUUGGGUAUUAAACCUAUUGGCGCAAUAAAUGUGAAGGGCGGCUUGUUCGUCUGAUAUGUGAUCCGUCGGUCUCGGCCAGCGGCGCAACAUAGUCCCAUGCCUACUGCUUGCAGUGGUGUGGAGAUGGAGCGUACACACUAGGACCCGAAAGAUGGUGAACUAUGCCUGAGCAGGACGAAGUCAGAGGAAACUCUGAUGGAAGUCCGAAGCGGUUCUGACGUGCAAAUCGAUCGUCGGACUCGGGUAUAGGGGCGAAAGACUAAUCGAACCAUCUAGUAGCUGGUUCACACCGAAUU